rnacentral:rRNA from 1 species
UACAGAGGUGGCAAGCGUUGUUCGGAAUUACUGGGCGUAAAGGGCGCGUAGGCGGCCUUCUAAGUCGGACGUGAAAGCCCCAGGCUUAACCUGGGAACUGCGUCUGAUACUGGAAGGCUUGGAUUCGGGAGAGGGAUGUGGAAUUCCAGGUGUAGCGGUGAAAUGCGUAGAUAUCUGGAGGAACACCGGUGGCGAAGGCGGCAUCCUGGACCUGUACUGACGCUCAUGCACGAAAGCGUGGGGAGCAAACAGGAUUAGAAACCCUGGUAGU